UCCUAGCCCAGAUAGUAGCGGUAUCCUUUUUAUUUUUGUUCUUUAAAAAAUAAAAAGAUACAAGCGGAUAGCUGGAUUAGCU
rnacentral:sRNA from 1 species